UGCGUAUGUAAUGGUGGCUGAUGGUUCAA
rnacentral:piRNA from 1 species